GUUGGGUAGGGGAGCGUUCUGUAAGCCUGCGAAGGUGGCCUGUGAGGGUUGCUGGAGGUAUCAGAAGUGCGAAUGCUGACAUAAGUAACGAUAAAGCGGGUGAAAAGCCCGCUCGCCGGAAGACCAAGGGUUCCUGUCCAACGUUAAUCGGGGCAGGGUGAGUCGACCCCUAAGGCGAGGCCGAAAGGCGUAGUCGAUGGGAAACGGGUUAAUAUUCCCGUACUUGGUGUUACUGCGAAGGGGGGACGGAGAAGGCUAUGUUGGCCGGGCGACGGUUGUCCCGGUUUAAGCGUGUAGGUGUGUGUUCCAGGUAAAUCCGGUUCACUUUAACACUGAGGCGUGACGACGAGGCACUACGGUGCUGAAGCAACAAAUGCCCUGCUUCCAGGAAAAGCCUCUAAGCAUCAGGUAACAUCAAAUCGUACCCCAAACCGACACAGGUGGUCAGGUAGAGAAUACCAAGGCGCUUGAGAGAACUCGGGUGAAGGAACUAGGCAAAAUGGUGCCGUAACUUCGGGAGAAGGCACGCUGACA
rnacentral:rRNA from 2 species